rnacentral:rRNA from 1 species
GACGAACGCUGGCGGCGUGCUUAACACAUGCAAGUCGAACGCGCCUGUCCUCUGGGUUUCUGGGGGGUGGGUGAGUGGCGAACGGGUGAGUAACACGUGAGUAACCUGCCCCCUUCUUCGGGAUAACGGUCUGAAAGGGCUGCUAAUACCGGGUAUUCACUGGUCUCCGCAUGGGGUCUGGUGGAAAGGUUUUUUUCUGGUGGGGGAUGGGCUCGCGGCCUAUCAGCUUGUUGGUGGGGUGAUGGCCCACCAAGGCUUUGACGGGUAGCCGGCCUGAGAGGGUGACCGGGCACAUUGGGACUGAGAUACGGCCCAGACUCCUACGGGAGGCAGCAGUGGGGAAUAUUGCACAAUGGGCGCAAGCCUGAUGCAGCGACGCCGCGGGAGGGAUGGAGGCCUUCGGGUUGUGAACCUCUUUCGCCCGUGGUCAAGCCGCGACGUGGGUCGUGGUGAGGGUAGUGGGUAAAGAAGCGCCGGCUAACUACGUG